AUUGAACGCUGGCGGCAGGCCUAACACAUGCAAGUCGAGCGAGCGGCGGACGGGUGAGUAAUGGCUGGGAAACUGCCUGAUGUAGGGGGAUAACUACUGGAAACGGUAGCUAAUACCGCAUACUAUCAGAUGUGCCGAGAUGGGAUUAGCGAGGAGGUGGGGUAACGGCUCACCUAGGCGACGGUCCCUAGCUGGUCUGAGAGGAUGACCAGCCACACUGGAACUGAGACACGGUCCAGACCCCUACGGGAGGUAGCAUUGGGGUAUUUUGCACAAUGGGCGCAAGCCUGAUGCAGCCAUGCCGCGUGUGUGACGAAGGCCUUCGGGUUGUAAAGCACUUUCAUCGGGGAGGCGUUACCCGCACAAGAAGCACCGGCUAACUCCGUGCCAGCAGCCGCGGUAAUAC
rnacentral:rRNA from 1 species